rnacentral:rRNA from 1 species
CCAAUAGCGUAUAUUAAAGUUGUUGCAGUUAAAAAGCUCGUAGUUGAAUUUCGGGAUCAAUAUUUCGGUCAUGCCGUUGGUAUGCACUGUUAUGAUUGAUUUCUCACCUUCUAAAGAACCGUAAUGCCAUUAAUUUGGUGUUACGGGGAAUUAGGACUGUUACCUUGAAAAAAUUAGAGUGUUUAAAGCAAGCUCACGCU